CAUGCAAGUCGAGGGGCAGCACAAGGAGCAAUCUGAGGUGGCGACCGGCGCACGGGUGAGUAACACGUAUGCAACCUGCCUGUAAGCGGGGAAUAACCCGUUGAAAGACGGACUAAUACCGCAUAAUACUGGAGAUCUGCAUGGAUAUUCAGUUAAACAUUUAUGGCUUACAGAUGGGCAUGCGCAUGAUUAGAUAGUUGGAGAGGUAACGGCUCCCCAAGUCAACGAUCAUUAGGGGUUCUGAGAGGAAGGUCCCCCACACUGGUACUGAGACACGGACCAGACUCCUACGGGAGGCAGCAGUGAGGAAUAUUGGUCAAUGGGCGAGAGCCUGAACCAGCCAAGUCGCGUGCAGGAAGAAUGUCCUAUGGAUUGUAAACUGCUUUUGCAGGGGAAUAAAGUGAGCCACGUGUGGUUUUUUGUAUGUACUCUGCGAAUAAGGAUCGGCUAACUCCGUGCCAGCAGCCGCGGUAAUACGGAGGAUCCGAGCGUUAUCCGGAUUUAUUGGGUUUAAAGGGUGCGUAGGCGGGAUAAUAAGUCAGUGGUGAAAGUUUGCAGCUUAACUGUAAAAUUGCCGUUGAAACUGUUAUUCUUGAGAGUAGAUAAGGUAGGCGGAAUGUGUUGUGUAGCGGUGAAAUGCAUAGAUAUAACACAGAACCCCGAUUGCGAAGGCAGCUUACCGGGCUACAUCUGACGCUGAUGCACGAAAGCGUGGGGAUCAAACAGGAUUAGAUACCCUGGUAGUCCACGCAGUAAACGAUGAAUACUAGCUGUAUGCGAUAUACUGUAUGUGGCAAAGCGAAAGCAUUAAGUAUUCCACCUGGGGAGUACCUUCGCAAGAAUGAAACUCAAAGGAAUUGACGGGAGCCCCGCACAACCGGAGGAAAAUGUGGUUUUAUUUCAAUGAAAACCGAAGGAACCCUUACCCGGGCUUGAAAUGCAAUCAAAGGGAGGGGAAAACAUUACUUUCCAGCAAUGG
rnacentral:rRNA from 1 species